UGGGGAAUAUUGCACAAUGGGCGAAAGCCUGAUGCAGCAACGCCGCGUGAGUGAUGAAGGCCUUCGGGUUGUAAAGCUCUGUCUUUUGGGACGAUAAUGACGGUACCAAAGGAGGAAGCCACGGCUAACUACGUGCCAGCAGCCGCGGUAAUACGUAGGUGGCAAGCGUUGUCCGGAUUUACUGGGCGUAAAGGAUGCGUAGGCGGAUUUUUAAGUGAGAUGUGAAAACCCUAAGCUUAACUUGGGGACUGCAUUUCAUACUGGAAAUCUAGAGUGCGGGAGAGGAGAAUGGAAUUCCUAGUGUAGCGGUGAAAUGCGUAGAGAUUAGGAAGAACACCAGUGGCGAAGGCGAUUCUCUGGACCGUAACUGACGCUGAGGCAUGAAAGCGUGGGUAGCAAACAGGAUUAGAUACCCUGGUAGUCCACGCCGUAAACGAUGAGUACUAGGUGUAGGAGGUAUCGACCCCUUCUGUGCCGCAGUUAACACAAUAAGUACUCCGCCUGGGAAGUACGAUCGCAAGAUUAAAACUUAAAGGAAUUGACGGGGUCAUAGCUG
rnacentral:rRNA from 1 species